UGUUAUUUCAUCAAGAAAACAACCAGUGAAAAAUGCCUGAAAGUGAUGUAUCUCAUGCAAAUCAUGUGAGUGGGAACAUGCAGUAAAUCCAGGAAGCAUCAAAUGUGCUUGUGUUGGAUGACAGGACAAGGAUGGGAGGAGGCGGAGAGAAGGAGGAGUUUUGGGUCAGUUGCUCAGGAGAAGUGAAAGUGAAAUAGAGCUGUGUAUAUAAGAGCGUGGAAGAGGAAGUCAAGACGUAUUGUAUAAAUAGAGCAGCUUCACGUGCACACACACAUACUGACACAAACAUGCAGGAGCUGGAGACGGAGCAGAGGGGAGACUGGAGAGAACGUGAGGCCGGACGAGGUCACAGAGGCUCUGCUAUCGACUCCAGGGUGAGAAUAGGGCCUGGGGACAGCGGUGGACUGCUCAGCGGACGUCCAGGUAUCGAACUCCGAUCUCUCUCAUGCAAGCGUGAACGAUUAUCAUUAGACCAAGAGUAGAAUCACAAAAAAAAGACAGGGUUCUGAACCAACACUGUUGGGUGUCUGCUGAAGCCUUAGAAGCCUUGUUAUUGAUCUGAUAGGCCUAUUGGUCUGACGGUAGCGAUUCAGGUUUGGACCCAGGUCUGGUUGGCAGGUGGAGUGGUAACGGAACCCACAAAGCAGCUGUGACUCAGACCACCAGCUGGUUGUUGGUUCCGUUUUCAUCCUGACCCGCAGAACGUCGACUCACUCAGCAGUGGACACGCUCCUCAGGUGCUGAAGUUAGGGCCAUUGUUACAACCCCAACCUGGUCAUGAGGAUGUUGAAAGCCCUUCGUGGAGUCGUUUUCCCCAUGUUUAGUUACCAACAAAAUAUGUUACCGUUCAAGAUUUACAAGUAAAAAUUCACGCUUUCUAAUAAAUAAUUGAUUUUUCUUUUGUUGUUGGAAAUGAAUGGUUGUCUGGUCGGUCAGAGGGACUGAGAAAGGUUCUGGUCAGGGUGAUGUUCUUCAAUGACACGUUUUCUCCCGGAUUGCUAAGCUCACUGACGCCACCGGGAAUCUCGUGUCAGUCAAGAAUGGCCCCACUAACAGGGAAUGGCACCUUCACACUGACCUGGCUCUGUUGAAUAUAUAGACCAUGCUGAAAAUGUACUAUCAAAGUAUGAUUUGUAUGGACUUUUUUUCUUGUAUGCUGUAAAUCCUAUAAUGAAAUAAAUAAAAUUCACUCCUU